rnacentral:rRNA from 3 species
UACGUAGGGGGCAAGCGUUGUUCGGAAUUACUGGGCGUAAAGGGCGCGUAGGCGGCACGGCAAGUCGGGAGUGAAAGCCCGGGGCUCAACCCCGGAGGGUCUCUCGAAACUGCCGAGCUAGAGUGCGGAAGAGGCAAUCGGAAUUCCCAGUGUAGCGGUGAAAUGCGUAGAUAUUGGGAAGAACACCGGAGGCGAAGGCGGAUUGCUGGGCCGACACUGACGCUGAGGCGCGAAAGCCAGGGGAGCAAACGGG